CACCCAAACUAUACAUCUUUUGGGAGAUCUACCACUAAGCGGGAGAGAGAGAAUCAUAGAGCAACGCUUUUAAGUGGACCGGGAGACAAGCAGCAGAUCAAACGUCUGGGGUUGAGGAUGCAAAUUGCUUCUGCAAAGAGCCGACUUCAUUAUAAAGGACUGAUACUGCCUGAGUGUAAGAGGACUAUCACCAAGGGGCCAUGACCUUCUGCCUGAUCUGAAUAUCAGCUUAUCUUGGUGCUGAAUAAUGCAGAGUUAUAUUUACUUUGUCAUUUAAAUAUCAUUCAAUAUUUAACUUGCUCUUGCCUAUUCAUUGUCAUAAAACAAAUUGGGUUUUGGAUUUCUAAAUGACAGCAAACAUCCAAAAGUGCAAACAUUCCCCAACAGUGCUGAUAUCAACGAGUCAUCAAGUGAAAGUUUUGGAUUUUGGAUUUCCCAGGAAGAUUAUAUCAUUGGAAAAGAGUUGUCCUGGGUUCUGGGGCAUGUUACUUCAUCAACCAUUGAUCACCCUUAAAAGGUCUUUGCCGUAUAUUUUGAGGAGAGCCUCCAGGGCAUUUCAUUUUUGUCAAAAACUAUCUUAGUAAUUAGGAAAUGAACUAAGUUUUAAGAAUUUUUUUUCUUUUAAGAAACUUCAAUCACGUUAAUGGGAUUUUUAAAAACCCAAUAAAGACGUCAUCCUGAUUUAA